rnacentral:rRNA from 1 species
GGAGCGAACCGGAUUAGAUACCCGGGUAGUCCUGGCCGUAAACGAUGCAUACUAGGCAAUGGUGCGGCCAUGAGCCGCAUCAGUACCGUAGGGAAACCGUUAAGUGUGCCGCCUGGGAAGUACGGUCGCAAGGCUAAAACUUAAAGGAAUUGGCGGGGGAGCACCACAAGGGGUGAAGCCUGCGGUUCAAUUGGACUCAACGCCGGGAAACUUACCAGGGGAGACAGCAGAAUGACAGUCAGGUUGACGACCUUACUCGACGAGCCGAGAGGAGGUGCAUGGCCGUCGCCAGUUCGUGCUGUGAGGUAUCCUGUUAAGUCAGGCAACGAACGAGAUCCGCGCCCUUAUUUGCCAUCAAGAAGUCACGACUUCGUUGGGAACACUAAAGGGACCGCCGUCGAUAAGACGGAGGAAGGAGCGGGCAAAGGCAGGUCAGUAUGCCCCGAAACCCCUGGGCUACACGCGGGCUGCAAUGGUGCGAACAAUGGGCUGUAACUCCGAAAGGAGAAACCAAUCCCGAAAUCGCAUCUCAGUGGGGAUUGUCGACUGUAACUCGUUGACAUGAACGUGGAAUCCCUAGUAAUCGCGUGUCACCAUCGCGCGGUGA